UACGUAGGGGGCGAGCGUUGUCCGGAUUUACUGGGCGUAAAGAGCGCGCAGGCGGUCGUUCAAGUCGAGCGUGAAAGCCCCCGGCUCAACUGGGGAGGGUCACGCGAUACUGCUCGACUCGAAGGCAGGAGAGGGAAGUGGAAUUCCCGGUGUAGUGGUGAAAUGCGUAGAUAUCGGGAGGAACACCAGUGGCGAAGGCGACUUCCUGGCCUGUUCUUGACGCUGAGGCGCGAAAGCUAGGGUAGCAAACGGG
rnacentral:rRNA from 1 species